rnacentral:rRNA from 2 species
GGAUGCGAUCAUACCAGCACUAAAGCACCGGAUCCCAUCAGAACUCUGAAGUAAAGCGUGCUUGAGCGAGAGUAGUAUUAGGAUGGGUGACCUCCUGGGAAGUCCUCGUGUUGCAUUCC